rnacentral:tRNA from 1 species
GUCAGUAUAGCUCAGCUGGUUAGAGCGCAGGAUUCAUAUCCCUGAGGUCGGCGGUUCAAAUCCACCUACUGACACCA